rnacentral:rRNA from 1 species
CCUACGGGUGGCAGCAGUGAGGAAUAUUGGUCAAUGGCCGGAAGGCUGAACCAGCCAAGUCGCGUGAGGGAAUAAGGCCCUAUGGGUCGUAAACCUCUUUUGUCAGGGAGCAAAGGCGUCCACGAGUGGACGAACGGAGAGUACCUGAAGAAAAAGCAUCGGCUAACUCCGUGCCAGCAGCCGCGGUAAUACGGAGGAUGCGAGCGUUAUCCGGAUUUAUUGGGUUUAAAGGGUGCGUAGGCGGAGUGUCAAGUCAGCGGUAAAAUUUCGGGGCUCAACUCCGGCACUGCCUCUGAUACUGUCGGGCUAGAGUGUAGUUGCGGUAGGCGGAAUGUAUGGUGUAGCGGUGAAAUGCAUAGAGAUCAUACAGAACACCGAUUGCGAAGGCAGCUUACCAAACUACGACUGACGUUGAGGCACGAAAGCGUGGGGAGCAAACAGGAUUAGAUACCCUGGUAGUC